CCUACGGGUGGCAGCAGUGAGGAAUAUUGGUCAAUGGGCGCGAGCCUGAACCAGCCAAGUAGCGUGAAGGAUGACUGCCCUACGGGUUGUAAACUUCUUUUAUAAAGGAAUAAAGUGAGGCACGUGUGCCUUUUUGUAUGUACUUUAUGAAUAAGGAUCGGCUAACUCCGUGCCAGCAGCCGCGGUAAUACGGAGGAUCCGAGCGUUAUCCGGAUUUAUUGGGUUUAAAGGGAGCGUAGGUGGGUUGUUAAGUCAGUUGUGAAAGUUUGCGGCUCAACCGUAAAAUUGCAAUUGAAACUGGCAGCCUUGAGUACAGUUGAGGUAGGCGGAAUGCGUGGUGUGGCGGUGAAAUGCUUAGAUAUCACGAAGAACUCCGAUUGCGAAGGCAGCUUACUAAACUGCCACUGACGCUGAUGCUCGAAAGUGUGGGUAUCAAACAGGAUUAGAUACCCGAGUAGUC
rnacentral:rRNA from 1 species